UACGAACUGUGCGAACGUUAUUCGGAAUCACUGGGCUUACAGGGUGCGUAGGCGGCUCAACAAGUCAGGUGUGAAAGCCCCCGGCUCAACCGGGGAACUGCGCUUGAAACUGUUAGGCUCGAGUCAGCUAGAGGUACACGGAACUUCCAGUGGAGCGGUGAAAUGUGUUGAUAUUGGAAGGAACACCGGAGGCGGAAGCGGUGUACUGGGGCUGGUCUGACGCUGAGGCACGAAAGCCAGGGGAGCGAACGGG
rnacentral:rRNA from 1 species